rnacentral:rRNA from 1 species
GUGAGGAAUAUUGGUCAAUGGGCGAGAGCCUGAACCAGCCACGUCGCGUGAAGGAAGACGGUUCUAUGGAUUGUAAACUUCUUUUAUGGGGGAGUAAAGAGACGUACGUGUACGUUGUUGCAAGUACCCCAUGAAUAAGCAUCGGCUAACUCCGUGCCAGCAGCCGCGGUAAUACGGAGGAUGCGAGCGUUAUCCGGAUUUAUUGGGUUUAAAGGGUGCGUAGGUGGCCGAUUAAGUCGGUGGUGAAAAGCUGUGGCUCAACCACAGUCUUGCCGUCGAAACUGGUUGGCUUGAGUAUGGAUGAAGUAGGCGGAAUGCGUGGUGUAGCGGUGAAAUGCUUAGAUAUCACGCAGAACUCCGAUUGCGAAGGCAGCUUACUAAGCCACAACUGACACUGAAGCACGAAAGCGUGGGUAUCAAACAGGAUUAGAAACCCUAGUAGUCC